rnacentral:rRNA from 1 species
UACGUAGGGGGCAAGCGUUGUCCGGAAUCAUUGGGCGUAAAGAGCGUGUAGGCGGCCCGGUAAGUCCGCUGUGAAAGUCGGGGGCUCAACCCUCGAAUGCCGGUGGAUACUGUCGGGCUAGAGUGCGGAAGAGGCGAGUGGAAUUCCUGGUGUAGCGGUGAAAUGCGCAGAUAUCAGGAGGAACACCGAUUGCGAAGGCAGCUCGCUGGGACGUUACUGACGCUGGAGACGCGAAAGCGUGGGGAGCAAACAGG